AUGAACGCUGGCGGCGUGCUUAACACAUGCAAGUCGAACGAAGCACUUUGGAACGAUUCUUCGGAUGAGUGAUAUUGUGACUGAGUGGCGGACGGGUGAGUAACGCGUGGGUAACCUGCCUCAUACAGGGGGGAUAACAGUUAGAAAUGACUGCUAAUACCGCAUAAGCGCACGGUAUCGCAUGAUACAGUGUGAAAAACUCCGGUGGUAUGAGAUGGACCCGCGUCUGAUUAGCUAGUUGGUGAGGUAACGGCUCACCAAGGCAACGAUCAGUAGCCGGCCUGAGAGGGUGAACGGCCACAUUGGGACUGAGACACGGCCCAAACUCCUACGGGAGGCAGCAGUGGGGAAUAUUGCACAAUGGGGGAAACCCUGAUGCAGCGACGCCGCGUGAACGAUGAAGUAUUUCGGUAUGUAAAGUUCUAUCAGCAGGGAAGAAAAUGACGGUACCUGACUAAGAAGCACCGGCUAAAUACGUG
rnacentral:rRNA from 1 species